UAACAAUAAGAGAUGAGGUGUAAAGGUGUCAGGUGUUCGGCGGCUCUGCUGCAGCCUAACUAUUAUUGAGUGAGUGCUCAUGGAAGGUGGAAAGCCUGUAUGGCUGCUGGCGGUCGGUCGCCGGCCAGUGACACUGAAGAGUCUAGUUGUUUGAGAGUACAACUCAAAGCUGGUGGUAAAUUCCAUCAAAGGCUAAAUAUACGAAGGGACUAAUAGCGAACAAGUACCAUGAGGGAAAGUUGAAAAGAACUCCGAAGAGAGAGUUAAAUAGUACGUGAAACCAUGCUGAGUAAAACAGAUAACUGUGUCGUUAUGCGGCGCCCCCUGUCAACAGCGGCCGCGGCAUCGCCGCGCCGCGCGUCUAGGCGGCUGGCUCUCGUAGCCCGCUGGCUGAUUACGCGCGGCUCGCUAGCCGAUGCCUCUGUGUACUAGUGGGCGUCCGUGCAUUGAGAAACCACGUAGCAACAGGCUCGGCGUGUUCUAUCUGUCCGCACCUAGUGCACGGUAGCGCGCUGGCUUCGUAUGCGUCACCUCACGCAGCGUGGUUUCGCUGCGUGGCAGCUGUGAGUCGCGCUCGCCACGAGGCUGCUGUUCGCUUGUCCGUGUGCGGGUGGUUCCACCCCGCGCGGCCGGCGUAGCCAGUCUCGAGGAGCGGCUCUCGAUCAAUGUUAGACAUUAGUUAUUUGACCCGUCUUGAAACACGGACCAAGGAGUUCAAAUGGCACGCGAGUCGUCGGGUUUAGCCACCCGAAGGCGAAGUGAAAUGCGAAUCAGUUGCGAACUGCGGUGCUCGCUGCCACAGUUAAGCGACGGGCUACUCAUGCUAC
rnacentral:rRNA from 1 species